GGAGACCUACGGGGGGCAGCAGUGGGGAAUAUUGCACAAUGGGCGAAAGCCUGAUGCAGCAACGCCGCGUGAAGGAAGAAGGGUUUCGGCUCGUAAAAUUCUAUCAACAGGGACGAAAGAAAUGACGGUACCUGAAUAAGAAGCCCCGGCUAACUACGUGCCAGCAGCCGCGGUAAUUCGUAGGGGGCAAGCGGUAUCCGGAAUUACUGGGUGUAAAGGGUGAGUAGGCGGCAUGGGAAGCCAGAUGUGAAAGCCUUGGGCUUAACCCGAGGAUUGCAUUUGGAACUAUCAAGCUAGAGGACAGG
rnacentral:rRNA from 1 species